rnacentral:rRNA from 1 species
GAUUAACGCUAGCGGCAGGCAUAAUACAUGCAAGUUGAACGGCAGCACAGGUAGCAAUACUGGGUGGCGAGUGGCGCACGGGUGCGUAACACGUAUGCAACCUACCCUAUACAGGCGAAUAACCUUUAGAAAUGAGGGCUAAUACGCCGUAGUAUUACAGAUGGGCAUCUAUUUGUAAUUAAAGAUUUAUCGGUAUAGGAUGGGCAUGCGUCCCAUUAGUUAGUUGGUAAGGUAACGGCUUACCAAGACGAUGAUGGGUAGGGGAUCUGAGAGGACUUACCCCCACACUGGUACUGAGACACGGACCAGACUCCUACGGGAGGCAGCAGUAAGGAAUAUUGGGCAAUGGCCGCGAGGCUGACCCAGCCAUGCCGCGUGCAGGAAGACGGCCUUAUGGGUUGUAAACUGCUUUUAUACGGGAAUAAUAGAGUGUACGCGUACAUUUAUGAAAGUAUCGUAUGAAUAAGCAUCGGCUAACUACGUG